CCGAAUGGAACGAGAGAGCUGAGUGGUUGUGUGGUCACGUCUCAGAGACCGGUAGCACUUGCAGCAUGGCUGACCAACUGACUGAAGAGCAGAUUGCAGAAUUCAAAGAAGCUUUUUCACUAUUUGACAAGGAUGGUGAUGGAACUAUAACAACAAAGGAAUUGGGAACUGUAAUGAGGUCUCUUGGGCAGAAUCCCACAGAAGCAGAGUUACAGGACAUGAUAAAUGAAGUGGAUGUUGAUGGUAAUGGCAAAAUUGACUUCCCGGAAUUUCUGACAAUGAUGGCAAGAAAAAUGAAAGACACAGACAGUGAAGAAGAAAUUAGAGAAGCAUUCCAUCUGUUUGAUAAGGAUGGCAAUGGCUAUAUUAGUGCAGCAGAGCUUUGCCAUGUGAUGACAAACCUUGGAGAGAAGUUAACAGAUGAAGAGGUUGAUGAAAUGAUCAGGGAAGCAGAUAUUGAUGGUGAUGGGCAAGUAAACUAUGAAGAGUUUGUACAAAUGAUGACAGCAAAGUGAAGACAUUGUACAGAAUGUAUUAAAUUUCUUGUACAAAAUUAUUUAUUUGCCUUUUCUUUGUUUGUAACUUAUCUGUAAAAGGUUUCCCCCUACUGUCAAAAAAUAUGCAUGUAUAGUAAUUAGGACUUCAUUCCUCCAUGUUUUCUUCCCUUAUCUUACUGUCAUUGUCCUGAAACCUUAUUUUAGAAAAUUGAUCAAGUAACAUGUUGCAUGUGGCUUACUCUGGAUAUAUCUAAGCCCUUCUGCACAUCUAAACUUAGAUGGAGUUGGUCAAAUGAGGGAACAUCUGGGUUAUGCCUUUUUUUAAGUAGUUUUCUUUAGGAAUUGUCAGCAUGUUGUUGUUGAAGUGUGGAGUUGUAACUCUGCGUGGACUAUGGACA